UACAGAGGAGCCAAGCGUUGUCCGGAUUGACUGGGCGUAAAGCGCACGCAGGCGGAUGCGCGCGUGGGGUGUGAAAUCUGGCCGCUUAACGGCCAGGCGCCAUCCCAUACGGCGCGUCUGGAGUGAUGCAGAGGUCGAUGGAAUUGCCGGUGUAGUGGUGAAAUGCGUAGAUAUCCGGAGGAAUACCAAAGGCGAAGGCAGUGUCCUGGGGAGUGUCUGACGCUCAGGCGCGAAAGCUAGGGGAGCGAACAGG
rnacentral:rRNA from 1 species